AGCAGAUGCAAAAUCAGUCCUGCUUAGAAGGCGAACUGUGAGCGGCCUGUCCUGUAGGCUGGAGGGCUUGAAAAAAGCAGGACACCCACUAUUUGUGUCCCACACCAACAAAGAGUCCCAGCCCUGUUAUCCUGGCUGACUGUUUUACCAUUAAUUACAGUCCCAACACCGAGCACUGAUUAAAUAUGAAAGCUAUACUUUUUUUUUUUUGCAUGUUUAUUUUCCACUGCUUGAUAUAUGUUUAUGGCAUCUUAGCUGUAGCCUGGUCAUUUGCUGCACAUAAUUUGGGGUCAGUAUGUGUGGAUGUUCCCAACAGUGUGUGCACGAGAUUUAUCUUUAAUCUUUGUGUGUAUUAUUAGGUCAAAAAGAAAGAAAAUGGAAACUAACACGACCAAUGACAGAAAAGAAGAAAAGGUUAGAAAACAAAAGCUCUUGGAUCCAGCAGGGUGGGAGCAGCAGCUGGACGGGCAACAGUCAGAUCAAGCAACACUUUUGUUUCCAUCAGCACCGCCUGAAAUUCCAGAAAGUCAAACAGGUUUAAGUAAGACACAUCCACACCCCCUGCACUCAGAACCAGUCAGAGUGGCCUAAUCCUGGGGCAAAGUAAACAGGGUGUGACCUGUGAUUGCUCUAGUAUGAAUGAAAUCUUUUCUUAUUGAAUGUGAAGUUAUAAUUUUUUGAAGAAACUACAUUUCUCAAAAUCUAAAGUCAUUUCUUUCCACCACAAACUCAGAAAACAAUUAUCUCAGUUUCAAAAAUUAGAAAAUCAAGGCAAACCCUAAAUGCAUUUGGCAAGUUUGCACAGGUACAGGUGGAAAACAAAUUGCAAAAACAAGCAAAAAAGGUGGAGCAAGGAAAGGAAAAGAGCCCAGUCAAGUUCCAACAAGCACAGCAGGAAUAAUCUCAGUUUAAAAAAAACCCAUCUAUAGCAAUGAACCAACCAGUUUAUGUCAGUAAAUGCAGGGAAAUUAUGCUUCCGCUUAAGUACACCUCCAAGAACCAGUUUUAAACCACCUUUUAGACUACGUCAGCAUAUUUGAGACUCUUUAAAGCUGCAGAAAGAGAGAGACUUAGUCAUGAUUAAACAAUGCAGGUAGAUAAAUUGUAUUCCAGCUCUUAAGUAGCUUCUGGAACAUAAGGCGAAAACACUACCCCGGCCUAAUGUGACCUAAGGUGACAUCGCUGAUUAUGGAGUUUGUUUGUUUGUUUGUUUGUUUUAUUUCUUGUUAGUAAAACUUUGUUAUUUUAAGACAUUCUGUCAGCUAUUGAUAAAUUAAAUCUCAUACUAAUUCUCUGAUUAUCAAACCAAUGUCAGGGGUUGCUGAGUGGAUGUGGAGAAAAGGACUCAAACGCAGGACUCACGGUGAAGAUUCAGGGUGUUUAUUGUGAGGGACGAAUGACGAAAACAGGAGAUGGCUGACUGACUGAAUAACUGAAUGAACGGCUGACUGAUCUGAACUUGGAAGGCAAACAUGGGUCAUAGACAGCAGUGACAACAUCAAUGACGCGACGCCGACCAGGAGACAACUGAGGACUUAAAUACACUGGCUGAACAAUGACUGAUAGGUGACAGAACAAUGAGAUACACACGUGGACAGGAGGCUGAACAUGCUCAUGGGUGGCUCUUCAGCUGGACACACACAUGGCAGAUCCUGUGACCUUGUUACCGCCGUCGGACCGCAGCUAUUGGACUGCGAGGACGUGGCCGUGACGUGACUGUGGACUCUCAAAACAUCUGAUAGACCGUGUGCCUGUGUAUGUGUGUGUGUGUGUCAUUAGUAAAAAUAAAUAAAAUUAUAUAUAUUUUUGAAAUCCAUUUAAAGACAAUGUGAUGCUACUAUCUUUCUUACAUAAAUUGUGCCAGGGAAAUUUCAUUUCCCUGGCACAAUUAAACAUUAAGUCUAUUGUUUUAAUGUUAAGAAAUUGCCUGCAUAUAUUUGUUUGAAUAAACAGCCUUAUGUCAGAGCCUGUGUGUUGAUUAUUAUGUAUUAUUAUUUAAUUCAGCUAUGUGAUAUUGGCUGUGUUGAGGUUGCAGGAUGUAAAUCGGUAUUAAAAAAUAUUUUAAACAUGUGUUUUUUAAAGAUUACUUUGUAAAAGAUUUAUUUGAUGAGAUGAGAAUUUAACACGACAUUUGUAAAUGUAUUUUAUGUCUGCUGUAUGUAAGGGUGAUUGAGAGACAGCUAGUCACUAUACUCUUAAUUUUACCCUGUUUGAAGCUGUUACACAACUUGCUGCUCCUUCUCGUCAGUGUCACGUUGACUUCGAUCUCUUCUCUUCUGUCAAAGAAUACGAGCAGCUGCAUUAUGUCUACAAGCAAACAAUCUUAUUCGUAUACUUUUGUCCCUCUGCUGAGUACAUGACAGCCCUCGUUUUGUCUCGCAGACCUUUUAUUUGUCACAAUUUUACGUUUAAUUUGCGUGUGUGAGAGAGAGAGAGGAAGCAUGGCGGCAGAUGGGUGUGCUGGAGACUCCAAAAGCUGCUGCAAAUAGCCUUUCGGGGUCGGAGUUGGGGAAACAGAGCACAUACUGCCGAGCUUAAAAUCAUGGCAGUCUGUUCUUGUGAAACAUCUGGACUCUGUAAGCAUGACUGGCUCAUUUGUGUGUAUGAAAAUGUAGACAAAACAAUAAAAUAAAGCGAC